GGACUUCUCAGGAUCUCACUUUCCUCUGAACCCUGGAGAUCCGGGACCCACGGCUCUUCCCCUCCUUCCAGCUGGGAGAUCACAUAGGGUUUGGAAACUGGAAGCCCUGCUCAAGGGAAAGAAAACAAGCGACGUCAGGUCAUGUUCGAGGACAAGGAGGUAGCGUUUUCCUUCUGAAUGGAGAUGUGCAAGGUGAGAUGGGAAUCCCAGCAUUUAUCCGCAUGCCCUCCAGCUGUGUGCACGGGUCAGCUGAAGCUGUAACUGGAUGAUGGAGGGAUUGGUUGGAGCAGCUUGGCAGAGCAGUGACUGUGCUAUGAAGAGAGGUGCAUGUGAAACUGGGAAGGCCAAUUCUGCCUCAUUUCCAUUUUGAGUUUUGCAGGCUUUGUCAGUAAAGGUGCCCAAGGGUGUGUUCUUGCCAUGGGGAUUGUCAGCACUCUGGUUCUAGUGAUCUGUGAGGCUUAGUGAGGGGUAAGUGAAGGCAGUGACUGAAAAGGAAAACUCAGGUUGAGGGCAAAGGGGUGGUAACACUUUGCAAGUCUCAGAUGGGUUGCGUGCAGGAGGUUCAGUACUGGAGUGCAGGCCAGGGGAGGAAGCUUCUGUUUGCUAUGACAGAGAUGAACCCGAAUAUUAUCUUAGCAAAGAGAAGUUGUUAGCCUUUCUGCUAUACGGCUCUGUUCCCAGAGCGUUCUGUAACAGUGGAGGAGAGAGGGCUAGUAUGUGUGUCACUGGCAUGUCGGGAUGAUGCUGAAACAGGGCAGAGCAGAGGUGGCAUUGUGGGGGUGGCAUGAACCUUAUCUCUUCAUUUCCCCUUCCAAGAACUGAGGUGACAGGAAUCCUUACCCAGUGAGGUCACAUUCUGACAGUUCUCCUGCAUGACGGCUCUGUAGAGAGCUCUCUGAGUGGGGUCCAGCAGAGCCCACUCUUCCCUGGUGAAAUACACAGCCACCUCCUCGAAGGUCACCAGCCCCUGAAAGAGCAAGAGCCCCCCAACUCAGAACCUGCUGCCCCAAUCACAACCCCACUAUUCACGGGGGAAAGGAGCCAAUCAAAUGGAUGCUCUGAGAGAGAGACAGUCAGCAAAGUCCUAUCCCCACACUGCUGAGAGCAGCCAGGAGGCAUCAGGGUAAGGGGACAAAGAGAGAGCCCCUUGUCUCUCCCAGCAGAUCCAUCACACACCUUCUACCCAGAGACUGAUACAGGAGAUGGAGCCCCCAGUAGGGUCCAGGCACAGCCUCAUGGUAGGAAUCCUAACACCCUCCCCACUGCCAGCAGCUGGAUGUGAGGGGCGGGACAUCUUCCCUACACCUCCCUGGUGGGUGCCCCCUUUCCAUGUCACACCAGCCUCUGGCUAGCAGGCUGAGGGUUCAGCACUGGAAAUCUGGUCAGUUUUCCCCGCCCUGCCCAGAGAGUUGGUUUCUCUGUUUCCUGUUUCACAAAUUAGGGAAUUUUCUCCCCCAACAACCAAGCAUUUGUUCCGUGGAGCUAGGCCCACGUUAGACAAGUCCCAGCAGGUUUGUCACACUCUGUCCCCCUCCCUUUCUUCACUCAGAGUAUUCCCUGCCCCCUCCAGCCCUAACUCCCCAGAAGUUGCCACCUUGUCAGUAUUUACUGCCCCUCUCCCUCCAGCAGGAACCCACCAGCAACCCCCCAAUAACCCCUACCUGAGCUAGCUCCACUGUGACCAUUUCUCUUCCCUGUCCCAUGGGAGGCUGGGAUGAGCUGGAGCGAGACAUGGGCAUCAUUCUGCAGCCUGGCAGGGCGAGAAGGGCAGUUGUGGAGGUUUCAGAACAGGCUUUAGUUCAUUUCACAUCACGAUUCCCCCAGGCCCUUUCCCUGCAGACACAGAUUGCAGAUUCUGCCAUGCUGGGAACAUGCUCAAUCCCCAUAGUGCAGCACAGACCUUGCCCCUGUCCUCCCCCCACCACCCACCCCCACUCCGCCAACCAGGACUAAACCCAUCGAGACAUUUUCAAACCCUCCCACCAACAGACUGUGAAUUAAACACUGGAAUAGACCAGAACCAAAAUAGCCCCUUUGGGGGGAUUCCUCCUGACACUGUCCCCAGGGCAGCUCACUCCUGCAGCAGGGGAACAGGGAGAGUCAGGGGCUGGUUUUUCCUCUCUUUGCUCCUCAUCUUGUUCACAGGUGACUCUGUGCAGGGAUGCUGCAGUGAGUUUGCCUGAGUGGGUUAGAGAUCUGGAAAUCUGUCACCGUCCCAUUUGUCCUCCUCUUUCCUAGCACCCUACCCCCCUGGAUGGGAACUGUGGUCACCAUCCCAUUCUUGGGGGCUCUCUUUUCCGUGACUGGCCCCGCUCUGCACAUGCGGGGAAGGGGGUACCAGUCAGGAAGACCUGCUUUAUCCACACAAGUUACUGGACAGAAUAGAGAGCCAGGGGAGAAAUUGAAGGGUUUGGUGAAGCAGGUCAGCCUUGCUGACCAUGAUCCCUUCUGGCCUUUAUGGCAGCAGCUCUGAGCUCCCGGAUACCCGGGGAGCAGAGAUGGGGGGGGACGACACUGUGCAGAGUCAGUCACCUGCCCAGCCCCAGAGUCUCAGUCACCUGGAG